AACUCAGCAGAGGGCGCUGCUCAGGUUGAAAUCACCCUAAAGAGGAAGGGCUAAAGAAUACCUGGAUCCAGGAGCUAACAUAAGUAUUACCAUAUCCGGUACAAAUAUCCUGCCAGACACGAAGAAAACAGGAUGGUGGCAGAUCAUACUCUUCCAGCUGUCAGAGAGAAAAGGCUUCUAUCCUAUCAGGCUGGCCUGGACUCAAACUCAAGUUGCCAAGAUCUUUACAUGCUGUGUCCCUUUUGAAUAAUAGUUGUGGAAGAGGUGGAAGAAUUAAUAGGAUAAUCAUCAAUCUGGUGAAGUAUGUCAUGGAUGCUUUUUAAACAUCGCACUGAAAAUCUUUGAUGUAAACUGGAAUGUCAAAUCAACCUUGCACUGCCUGCAACCUCCUUUGACGUAAUAAUUAUGUAUGAAGAUUAUGAAGAGGAAAAGAGAUGCAAAGAUCAUAGCUUACUUCAAGAUAUAA